rnacentral:rRNA from 1 species
UACGAAGGGGGCUAGCGUUGCUCGGAAUCACUGGGCGUAAAGCGCACGUUGGCGGAUUGUUAAGUCAGGGGUGAAAUCCUGGAGCUCAACUCCAGAACUGCCUUUGAUACUGGCGAUCUCGAGUCCGGGAGAGGUGAGUGGAACUGCGAGUGUAGAGGUGAAAUUCGUAGAUAUUCGCAAGAACACCAGUGGCGAAGGCGGCUCACUGGCCCGGUACUGACGCUGAGGUGCGAAAGCGUGGGGAGCAAACAGG